rnacentral:rRNA from 1 species
AGAGUUUGAUCAUGGCUCAGGACGAACGCUGGCGGCACGCUUAACACAUGCAAGUCGAACGAGAGAAGAGGAGCUUGCUUUUCUGAUCUAGUGGCGGACGGGUGAGUAACACGUGAGCAAUCUGCCUUUCAGAGGGGGAUACCGAUUGGAAACGAUCGUUAAUACCGCAUAACAUAAUUGAACCGCAUGAUUUGAUUAUCAAAGAUUUAUCGCUGAAAGAUGAGCUCGCGUCUGAUUAGCUAGUUGGUAAGGUAACGGCUUACCAAGGCGACGAUCAGUAGCCGGACUGAGAGGUUGAUCGGCCACAUUGGGACUGAGACACGGCCCAGACUCCUACGAGAGGCAGCAGUGGGGAAUAUUGCACAAUGGAGGAAACUCUGAUGCAGCGAUGCCGCGUGAGGGAAGAAGGUUUUAGGAUUGUAAACCUCUGUCUUCAGGGACGAAAAAAGACGGUACCUGAGGAGGAAGCUCCGGCUAACUACGUGCCAGCAGCCGCGGUAAUACGUAGGGAGCGAGCGUUGUCCGGAAUUACUGGGUGUAAAGGGAGCGUAGGCGGGAUCGCAAGUCAGAUGUGAAAGCUAUGGGCUUAACCCAUAAACUGCAUUUGAAACUGUGGUUCUUGAGUGAAGUAGAGGUAAGCGGAAUUCCUAGUGUAGCGGUGAAAUGCGUAGAUAUUAGGAGGAACAUCAGUGGCGAAGGCGGCUUACUGGGCUUUAACUGACGCUGAGGCUCGAAAGCGUGGGGAGCAGACAGGAUUAGAUACCCUGGUAGUCCACGCCGUAAACGAUGAUUACUAGGUGUGGGGGGACUGACCCCUUCCGUGCCGCAGCAAACGCAAUAAGUAAUCCACCUGGGGAGUACGACCGCAAGGUUGAAACUCAAAGGAAUUGACGGGGGCCCGCACAAGCAGUGGAGUAUGUGGAUUAAUUCGAAGCAACGCGAAGAACCUUACCAGGUCUUGACAUCGUAUGCAUAGCUCAGAGAUGAGUGAAAUCUCUUCGGAGACAUAUAGACAGGUGGUGCAUGGUUGUCGUCAGCUCGUGUCGUGAGAUGUUGGGUUAAGUCCCGCAACGAGCGCAACCCUUACUGUUAGUUGCUACGCAAGAGCACUCUAGCAGGACUGCCGUUGACAAAACGGAGGAAGGUGGGGAUGACGUCAAAUCAUCAUGCCCCUUAUGACCUGGGCCUCACACGUACUACAAUGGCUGUCAACAGAGGGAAGCAAAGCCGCGAGGUGGAGCGAACCCCUAAAAGCAGUCUUAGUUCGGAUUGUAGGCUGCAACCCGCCUACAUGAAGUCGGAAUUGCUAGUAAUCGCAGAUCAGCAUGCUGCGGUGAAUACGUUCCCGGGCCUUGUACACACCGCCCGUCACGCCAUGGGAGUCGGUAACACCCGAAGCCUGUAGUCUAACCGCAAGGAGGACGCAGUCGAAGGUGGGAUUGAUGACUGGGGUGAAGUCGUAACAAGGUA